rnacentral:rRNA from 1 species
CAGUCGCCACGGGAAUACGGAGGGAGCUAGCGUUGUUCGGAAUUACUGGGCGUAAAGCGCACGUAGGCGGCUUAGUAAGUUAGAGGUGAAAGCCUGGAGCUCAACUCCAGAAUUGCCUUUAAGACUGCAUCGCUUGAAUCCAGGAGAGGUGAGUGGAAUUCCGAGUGUAGAGGUGAAAUUCGUAGAUAUUCGGAAGAACACCAGUGGCGAAGGCGGCUCACUGGACUGGUAUUGACGCUGAGGUGCGAAAGCGUGGGGAGCAAACAGGAUUAGAUACCCCGGUAGUCCCUGUCUCUUAUAC